rnacentral:rRNA from 1 species
AAACGGUGGCUAAUACCGCAUAAUGUCUACGGACCAAAGCAGGGGCUCUUCGGACCUUGCACUAUCGGAUGAACCCAUAUGGGAUUAGCUAGUAGGUGGGGUAAAGGCUCACCUAGGCGACGAUCUCUAGCUGGUCUGAGAGGAUGAUCAGCCACACUGGGACUGAGACACGGCCCAGACUCCUACGGGAGGCAGCAGUGGGGAAUAUUGCACAAUGGGCGCAAGCCUGAUGCAGCCAUGCCGCGUGUAUGAAGAAGGCCUUAGGGUUGUAAAGUACUUUCAGCGGGGAGGAAGGUGAUAAGGUUAAUACCCUUGUCAAUUGACGUUACCCGCAGAAGAAGCACCGGCUAACUCCGUGCCAGCAGCCGCGGUUAAUACGGAGGGUGCAAGCGUUAAUCGGAAUUACUGGGCGUAAAGCGCACGCAGGCGGUCAAUUAAGUCAGAUGUGAAAGCCCCCGAGCUUAACUUGGGAAUUGCAUCUGAAACUGGGUUGGCUAGAGUCUUUGUAGAGGGGGG